rnacentral:lncRNA from 1 species
GAGCAUCUCCUCUGCACUUGGCUUUUCCAAAAUCGUGGCUGCACCGUCUCAGGGAGCCCACUCUAAGGUUGGGCUAAUCUCCCAGCUACUGUGGACCCAGGGAAGCGCUGACCAUCAGGAUUUGGCAGUGAGAGCCUCCGUCCAUCUCCCACCCUCCGGACUUCGAUGUUGGGGCCAGCAGACAGGAGCCAUCAGACACGUUCUUUUCGGGCUGCCUCUUCCUCCGUCCAGCUCAGGUGACUGGUGGCCCCUCUGGGCCCAACCAGUCUGGGCAAGAAGCAGCCCCAGCUCUGUCAGAUGCCCAGGGUGGCCCACCCCCCUUCCUGGAGCCCAGCCAGCCCUCUCAGCUGGACUCUUGACCCUCUGUUUUCCUGUUUCUCUGCAGGAAAUGAGCUCUGAAAGACAAGCGCUGAGUGGGGUCCAGACAACAUAUCCAUGCUCAGGGCAGGAAGUAGGAAGGCGGGCAGGGAGGUCCCAGGCAUAUCUGUCCCCUUCUCUCAGAAAAACAAUGCUUUUAUACAAAUCUCCCCAGCAGACUUCUGCUUGUUCUCUUUGGAAAGAACCAGAACAUGUGGCCAUUCCUAGCUGCAAGAAAGUCUGGGAAAAAGGGAGCAAGAUUAUCAUGAUUGGCUUAGACCAGGGUCAGCAACCUUCCGUGAAGGCCUAGAUGGUAAAGACUUGAGGCUUGGUGGCCGUAGACUCUGUCACAACUACUCAACUCUGCCUUUGAAGCACG